AUUGAACGCUGGCGGAAUGCUUUACACAUGCAAGUCGAGCGGCAGCGCGGGGGCAACCCUGGCGGCGAGCGGCGAACGGGUGAGUAAUACAUCGGAACGUGUCCUUGAGUGGGGGAUAGCUCGGCGAAAGCCGGAUUAAUACCGCAUAAGCUCUGAGGAGGAAAGCGGGGGAUUCGCAAGGACCUCGCGCUGUUGGAGCGGCCGAUGUCGGAUUAGCUAGUGGUGGGGUAAAGGCCCACCAAGGCGACGAUCCGUAGCUGGUCUGAGAGGAUGAUCAGCCACACUGGAACUGAGACACGGUCCAGACUCCUACGGGAGGCAGCAGUGGGAAUUUUGGACAAUGGGGCAACCCUGAUCCAGCCAUUCCGCGUGAGUGAAGAAGGCCUGGUUGUAAG
rnacentral:rRNA from 1 species